AAGAGCGCAGUACAACGGGGAGUUGUAUGCUGCGUUCGGGAAGGAUGAAUCGCUCCCGAAAAGGAGUCUAUGUAUUCUCUCCCAAUUGGUUGGAUCGUAGGGGCGAUGAUGAGAUUUAUUACUUCAC
rnacentral:ncRNA from 1 species